UUUUUUUUUUUUCACACAUGACCCAACUCAUCUUCAGAGAUUAUAUAAGUGUUGCGCAAGACUUAUGAGACUAUGAGGAAGAAGUAUUCCUACUUGCAUCAUGGAAAGGUAGAGCUGAAAGACUCAAUCAAGAUUGUGGCAAAGAGAGAGAAGAAUUUGCAGUUGCUGAAGACCAGGUCAACAGAGACACAGGAGGAUUAUGUGGACAUGAUGUCUGAUGAAAAAAAUGGUGUUGUUAAUGGGAGCCCUGUGUGGGUUGUAAAA